GGGUAAUUUCAGAUGUUGCAGGGAUUGCCAAAUCUAUCUGAGUCCAAACCUCAGUUUGUACAAUAAGACAGGGAGAUCUGUCUAUAGCACAUGCCACAUAUGGACACACUGAUCACUGCGAAAUGAUCAAUAUCAUGUUGGCAGAGAUGGACAGCAACAUUUAACCUAAGCUUUUGCAACUCUUUUAUAAACUCUAAAGUUGAACAUGUGGUAAUUUGAGAUUGACUGAAAUAAGUGAAAUCUUUCAAUAAGAAGCUGCAGUUACCCAAGACGUGGACAUCAAAAUCGGAGACGCUGGCCUUUCAUAGUACUGAUGUUCUGUCAUUAAAAGUCCCUUCAUGUAAUUUAUUUAAUGGGUAGAAAACAAUGGACAGCUCAACAGCUAUGUAAAGUGAAACCAUAACAUCCAGAGGUCAUUCAGCCUGCCUUCUCCACUAGAAUAAAUGGAGCAGGUUUGAAAAUGAUGUAUAUGUAUGUACAUAUUUGUAUGGUACUGAAAAAAAUAUAUAUAACGUUUUAAAAAAAGAAAGAAAUGAAAAUUGAAAUAGAUAUCAAAUCAUUUUCAAACAUGCUUUUUGUUAUGACACUUGAGUCUUAUCAUGCUGGUUUAUGUCAAUAAGUUCAUAUUUUGGAGUGGUGAUUGAUUGGCAGCUCUAUUGACAAAUGCAGACUCCUCAACAACACACGUGGAGAAAUGGUGAAAAAAUAACACAACAAAUACAGACAGGAGAGUCACUGUAUCAUCCAUCAGUGUUGAUAUCCUUCACAAAAGUUACAAUAAAAAAACAACCCCAAGAUGAGACAAAGACAAGCUAAAAUACACCACUGAUAGUAAAAACUCUGACGAAUAUAGGUUUUUGUUGUCAUUAAUUGAUGACAAGAUUGAAUUGUUCACUUUAAUUUAUUACCCAAGUUAAAGAGUUAAAAGAGUAUAAAAUUUAACCACAAGUACAGCCUUGAUACCAAUUUGUCUUGAUUAUUAGAUUGGAGUGUUAAGUUGCACUUUCUGUGGUAUGACAGAGAUGAUGUAUUUGCUUUUUCAGUUAAAGAAAAAAAAAAAAAUUUGUCAAAGAUGUUUCACUAAUCUGAUAAGUCUGACCCUACAGCUGCUUGUUUUCAAAGGUUUAGAAGCUAUUACAGUAAUUGCACUAUCAAGGUCACAUAGUUGUUGAUAUUAAAGUAAAAAAUGCCUUGGAAGUAAUUGCUGAGAUUUGUUUGAACUGAGAAAUUUAAAUCUAUAACAUCUGCUGGGUUUACAGAAAAAUGUAGAUGACCUUUAUUUCUUUUUUUUUUUUGAUACAUAGUCCUUAAUUCUAAAAUUUUAGAUAAGUAAAUGGUGCAGAGAAACAGAUGUCCCUUAUUACGAAACCCAAAUAUGGUAUUUUCCAGCAGACACCGCGCUUUGAAGGUAAAUAAUUGGUCAAACAGACAGCUGAUGACAAGAAGUGCCAAAUUGCAUAAUAAGUAAUCCUCUGUGAGCCUGUUCAUGGGAAUGAACAUUUCUUGUUAAUUUGAGGUUUUUCACUUGUUUCUCUAGAGACCAGCUCCUGGCUUGUAUGCAUCACAUCAUCUCAGAUACCAUCUGCUCUGGACAGGACAAUGAGUGUAGUAUUUUAGCUCCUAUCAGCCUGGAUCUCACAAAUUACAAAGUUGAUCUCAUCUCUUCCUCUGCUCUACUUUUUUCAGCUUUCAGCUCAUUUCUACAGCACAAGAUAACAAACAUGCUUCAGCUGUCAACAGGUUUAGAAAAAGCACAAAAAACUCACAAUUUCUCAGACAGGUUUAAUGAAGAUGUUCUCCUUAGCUUAGAAAUCCAAUUACAGCUGUCUGUUUCAGUUUGACUUUUUAUACAGUAGCUCUUUUUCUCACAGGCUAUAAGAUGUAAAUCUCUGCUGUGUUUACAGUAUACUUUAUUUCAUGUGCACUAGUUUCCCAUGUACUACUUUCUGAUGUCUCCCAGCUGUUUAACAUCUGCAAACUUGUGUUUCCUGCCCAGAGUUAAAGCAGUCUGUCGAUCCGUGAGCACAUUUCCCAUGCUUGCACGCUGGGCCGGAUCCUGCUGUUUCUCUGUGCUUUGUGCCCUGAGUACAAGGCCUGUAAUCUGAUCCUGAACCAGAUCAUGUCGCACAGCAUCCAGAGUGCCACCGGGCUCCCUGCCUAAUGGUUAUGAGACAUGCAGGCCCCCAAAUCCCCUGUCACUGCAGACUGACGACGAACAGCAGUGUGCAGACUCCUCAAGUUAAGUUGGCAUUUCCUUCAGUGGCUUCUUCACAUUGAUAAGAAUCCCCCGGGAGAUACAAGGGGGAGCAAGAGGGCUGGGGGAGAGGGGCAGUGUGCCGUAACUGCUGAUAUCACAUGUGUGUAAGAAAAAAAACCCACUCACCAGACCCUAUUUGCCUUGAUGGCUGUAGGGAGCCGGGAGGGAUCCCAAGGGAUAGCGAGCCCCUUACUCCUCUAAGCUCCCACCCCCCUUGGCAGAACCAUAAAGCUGCUGGGUAUGUGGACAUAGCACAAAAAGGACACUGAUCAAUUAUGGUCGCAGUGUGGGAAGAUGUUUGUGCACAAAGAAGAGGACAGACGGGGGAGGAUGGAGCUAGUAUAAACAACUAUCAAAAACUACACAUGUGGGACUGCUCCUUUAAAAACAGGGGAACCCCUUUUAAAUUGAGCCCUGGCAUUGAAUCCCAAAUGGUCCAAUCUAGGCUUCUGGUCUAGCAUUUAGUCCUCAGGCUGUCCCAUAUCUACAUCUCUGCCUGUUAUGACCAGGCCGUCACGGUUUCCCAGAAGUCACCUGCAUUCAUCCACCAUGUGAUUAAUCUCUUCAUCUGCAGCAUGAUGGCUGCACAGGUGCCUGUGGGCUGAUUGUAUUUCCUUACACACACAGGUGUAGUGGAGUAACAGUGGAGGCACCCUCAAGGUUAAACAGAGGAACAUUAGAGCCGAAUGGUAAUUGUUUGGUUCCAAAAUAUGUCAGGAUGAUGGAUUAGGUCGGUGCUGGGCGCUCACUGUUGUUUGUUGGGAGAAUAAAGGAUCAGGUGUGAAAAACAAAAUGUAUGACUGUUCUCUGAUCAAGAAACCCUCUAUGCUUAGGAUCUAUUUGGUGUUUCCCUGUGUCUCUAACUGCUUUAAAGCUGUUUCUCCUAAAGUUAAAUAGAAGAACCAACUUUAAAAAAAAGGUUGAACCCACAAGAACUCACUCUAUGCCCUAUUUCCAAUGAUCAAAAAGCACUCAAUGAUCAAAAUAUUCCCAGCUUCAAGGGCACUACAUUGAGUGGACCAACCUGCAGAUGCCCGGGUCUCUAAGGCAGCCUGCUCAUUUGAUCUUUGCCCUGUGUUACUUUACAGUUUCCUGCUCUGUCCACUAUUCUGUAUUCUGAUAAGGAAAAAAAGAAGAGAAUAAUCUUAAAAUACAUUUAUAUACAUACGUUUAUUUCUUGGCAUCCUUUAGGUACUUUCUAAAACCACCACCCUUAAACAACAGUCACUAGCAGAUUGUUGGCAUGGACAUGUAUUUAGAUUAGUGCUUCCCAAUGUUUGUGCCUGUGUGUCUGUCAUAAGUGGUAGCCAGUUUAAAUAAGAAGUCCUUUUUGUGUCCUUUGGGGUCUUUUCCUUGUUUUCAGCCCAAAAUUACCACUCUGCAAUGUAUGGGAAUCAUCUAUACAAUCAGAUUUAGUUUGUUUAGUCAAAGGUGAUGUUUCAAGUGGACCAGCACACUCUAGUAAUCAUACCUGGACUUCUUAUCAGCUGUAAUCUGGAUAUUACAGUUUCUCUUGGAGAUUCAAAAUAGCACAUAAAAUACAUUACCCAUGGCACACCAUGUGAUGCUAGCAUCUUCACACAGGAUGUUUCUGUUUUUGACAGAAAGUAACAUCAAACUAAUGCAAACUUGCAGAUUUCUGUAGUGUUGGACCAAACUUUAAGGUUGGAGCUAGGGUUAGGGUUAGGUGUGGGGUUGGAGCUAGGGUUAGGGUUAGGGUUAGGGUUGGAGUUAGGGUUAGUGUUGGAGCUAGGGUUAGGGUUGGGCUUGGAGCUAGGAUUUUUCUGAGUGCAAUGAACCAACUCCCGAGUCUCUAGGACGUUCCUAAAAAGAUUUGAUUUUUUUCCCAUAGGAAUGCAUGGGUUAGGGUUAGGGUUAGGGUUGGAGCUAGGGUUAGGGUUAGGGUUAGGGUUGGAGUUAGGGUUAGUGUUGGAGCUAGGGUUAGGGUUGGGCUUGGAGCUAGGAUUUUUCUGAGUGCAAUGAACCAACUCCCGAGUCUCUAGGACGUUCCUAAAAAAAUUUGAUUUUUUCCCAUAGGAAUGCAUGGGUUAGGGUUAGGGUUAGGGUUGGAGCUAGGGUUAGGGUUAGGGUUAGGGUUGGAGUUAGGGUUAGGGUUAGUGUUGGAGCAAGGGUUAGGGUUGGGCUUGGAGCUAGGAUUUUUCUGAGUGCAAUGAACCAACUCCCGAGUCUCUAGGACGUUCCUAAAAAAAUUUGAUUUUUUCCCAUAGGAAUGCAUGGGUUAGGGUUAGGGUUAGGGUUGGAGCAAGGGUUAGGGUUAGGUGUGGGGUUGGAGCUAGGGUUAGGGUUAGGGUUGGAGUUAGGGUUAGUGUUGG